GACGAACGCUGGCGGCAUGCCUAACACAUGCAAGUCGAACGAACCCUUCGUGGUUAGGUGCGCACGUGUGCUGAACGCGGGGUAAUCUGCCCGUUGCUUCGGAAUAACUCAGUUAAACUUGUGCUAAGACCGCAUGAUGUCUUCGGACCAAAGAUUUAUCGGCACGGGAUGAGCCCGCGUAGGAUUAGGUAGUUGGUGGGGUAAAGGCAUACCAAGCCGACGAUCCUUAGCUGGUCUGAGAGGAUGACCAGCCACACUGGGAAUGCGACCCGGACUAGACUCGUACGGGAGGGAGCGGUGGGGAAUAUUGGAGACUGGGGGCAAGUGUGACACAGCAAUGCGGCGUGAGUGAUGAAGGCGGUCGGGUCGUAAAGCUCUCUUACCAGGGAUGAUAAUGACAGUAACUGGAGAAUAAGCUCCGGCUAACUACGUG
rnacentral:rRNA from 1 species